ensembl:lncRNA
GUCUCCGGAGGCCUCUGCUGCCCUUCGUGGCCGAGCAGCUGGGAGCAAUUGCUCCACAUGCCCUGGCUCAGGGUCAGCCUCCUUUGUGCUCGAAUCCUGCCAGAGCUGAGGGAGUGGAUGAGGACGACGGUGAUGAAUAAAAGGCUAAUCUGUUAGGUUGUUAGGAGUAGCUGAGCAUGAACAAUGGGAACGAUAUGGGGCUGUUAUUAGUGAGGGGGUGAUUGGGGUGAAGAAUACCUGUGGAACAGUGUACUGAAAUCAAUUGUAAUAUGCAGGUGUUCCCUCUAUAAAGAGGGAUGUUCACCUGCUAUCCGUGUGCAGGCUGGAAAGGAGUUAUCCCCCGUGCAUUGGGCCGGCCGAAUAAAUCGUACCGGCUGAACAACUACUG